UACGUAGGGAGCGAGCGUUGUCCGGAUUCAUUGGGCGUAAAGAGCUCGUAGGCGGCUUGAUAAGUCGGAUGUGAAACCUCCAGGCUCAACCUGGAGUCGCCAUCCGAUACUGUCAUGGCUAGAGUCCGGUAGGGGCCCACGGAAUUCCUGGUGUAGCGGUGAAAUGCGCAGACUAUCAGGAGGAACACCGGUGGCGAAGGCGGUGGGCUGGGCCGGCACUGACGCUGGAGGAGCGAAAGCGUGGGGAGCGAACAGG
rnacentral:rRNA from 1 species